UCCACUUAACAAUCGUGACAACAUUGUGAAAGCUGAUCAUAUAUUCCAAGUACAUAAAAAAUACCCCCCAUAUCAAUUACUCUUUCAAUUAGCAUUUAGACUGUUCAACUUAUCUCAAAUACAUCAAGCAAAACAUCAAUCAAGAUCAUCUAACCACAGUACAUGAUUUAAAUUCAAUGUGACUGCUCUCAUCAUGACCACCCACUAAAUGGAAUAUCAUAACAGACUAUAGGGAUCCAAGUGUAAAAUCAAAUUCCAUGAUGAAGAUGAGCACAUAAAGCGCACAUGGAGGAAUAAUUCCAUCUCAAACUUAUCUUUCUUCUUCAUCAAAAGGUCAGAAUCACAUCCCAAAUGAUGAUUUGCGAUUAGCAAAAGCCGCUUGAAUUGAAACUAGUCCUUCAAAAAGCCCAGACACCUUG
rnacentral:misc_RNA from 1 species